rnacentral:tRNA from 1 species
GGAGUGGUAGUUCAAUGGUAGAAUGCGUGCUUGUCAGGCACGUGAUUGCGGAUUCGAGUCCCGUCGAUUCCA